AUACGGAGGGGGCUAGCGUUGUUCGGAAUUACUGGGCGUAAAGCGCAUGUAGGUGGUGUGGCAAGUUAGAGGUGAAAGGCCUGGGCUCAACCUGGGAACUGCCUUUAAUACUGUCACGCUAGAGUUCGGGAGAGGGUAGCGGAAUUCCAAGUGUAGAGGUGAAAUUCGUAGAUAUUUGGAAGAACACCGGUGGCGAAGGCGGCUACCUGGACCGACACUGACACUGAGAUGCGAAAGCGUGGGGAGCGAACAGGAUUAGAAACCCCUGUAGUCC
rnacentral:rRNA from 1 species